GCUACUCCUUCUGGUGCUCUGUAAUUAUAGGCCCCUUUCAUAAGCCUCUUCAGAAACACUGUGGCUUUCUUUCUCUUACUGACCGGGAUUUGUGUCAGUCCUUACAGAAUGCUGACACCACUAUUUGAAGCAUUGGGGAGUUCUUGUUUUUUGUUUUUGUUGGUGACGUCAGGUCCUGGUGCCACCGCCAAUGGAACCGGGGGUGUCUCAGCUGGCUUAUCUGACUUCCAUGCUGUAGCUGGCUCGAGAGGUUUCCUUGCCUCAGUUGGCUCGGCAGGCUCCCAUCCCACGUCAUGCCUCAGCCGGAUUGUCGGGCUCCCACGCCUCAGCCGGCUCCACGGGCUCCCACGCCUCAGCCGGCUCCACGGGCUCCCACGCCUCAGCCGGCUCCACGGGCUCCCACGCCUCAGCCGGCUCCACGGGCUCCCACGCCUCAGCCGGCUCCACGGGCUCCCACGCCUCAGCCGGCUCCACGGGCUCCCACGCCUCAGCCGGCUCGUCGGGCUUCUAUGCCUCAGCCGGCUAGUCCAAUGCCAUGCCUCAGCCGGCCCAUCAGGCUCGCCCAGGUGGGAUGCAGGGUGGUGCCCCUAGAGGGGGGGGUACUGUCACGCCUGCUCCCGCUUCCCCUCUCUGCCCUUCAUUACGCACGCCUGUCACCAUCAUUACAUGCAUCAGCGCUCAUUGGACUUACCUAGACUCUUUUACUUUGUUGAUUGCCCCUCUAUAUCGGUCUGCUCCUCAGUUUGUUCCCCAUGUCAGCAUUAAUGACGUUUAUUUUUCCCCUGUUCAGACACUGUCCUUGUUUGUUUCUUGUCUAUUAUCCAUUAAAUGUUCACUCCCUGUACUUGCUUCUCAUCUCCCAGUGUUGGUCCUUACACAACAUGGUAGCAGCACGAAACAUGGUACAAACAUCUUGUGACAGGUAUACAGAGAUGACCAGUUUACAAAGGAGUAUCGAGUGCAGUGACGUGUCCUAUAAGGAGCAUUGGUGGAAAAUCUGAUGGCCGAAUGGUAAAGAACAUCCAGCCGCUAUAGAGCACCUUACCUGCCAAUCUUUAAAUCACAUCGCAUGGGUAGGAUGGUCAUCUGAAUCAGUGUUAGUUUGGCAGCUGGGGUGAAUGUGGAGCGAUUACAAUAGAGGAAACCAAGUCUAGAUUUAACCUUAGCGUGCAGCUCAGAUAUGUGCUGAGAGAUAUAGUAUAUCUAGUAGACAAACCAGUUUAAAAUCUAUAGGUUUACCAAACGGUUAAGUGAUUAACCAUUAAGUGCAGUUGGAUUAAGUUAUGGUCAAAUGUAUUUAAACAAAUGAGAAGAGAAUCGUAGGAAAAGUUUUGUGAGCAUUGUAUUGUGAAAGGCAAUUACUUUAUAUGAAAGAUAUUUCUAGAUGAAACACUGGUUAGGUUUGGUGAAAAGUUCCUUUGUGAUUAGGUGUG
ensembl:lncRNA